rnacentral:rRNA from 1 species
UCGAGGAUCUUCGGCAAUGGGCGCAAGCCUGACCGAGCGACGCCGCGUGUGCGAUGAAGGCCUUCGGGUUGUAAAGCACUGUCGAGGGGGAGGAAGCUCCGUAAGGAGUUGACCUAUCCCUGGAGGAAGCACGGGCUAAGUUCGUGCCAGCAGCCGCGGUAAGACGAACCGUGCAAACGUUAUUCGGAAUCACUGGGCUUAAAGGGCGCGUAGGCGGGUCGGAUAGUCUGCGGUGAAAUCCCUCAGCUUAACUGGGAAACUGCCGUGGAUACUGCCAAUCUCGAGGAGGGUAGGGGCAUCUGGAACAGCCGGUGGAGCGGUGAAAUGCGUUGAUAUCGGCUGGAACUCCGGUGGUGAAGGCGAGAUGCUGGACCCUUUCUGACGCUGAGGCGCGAAAGCCAGGGGAGCGAACGGGAUUAGAUACCCCGGUAGUCCCUGAGCGGGCUGGCAAGGCGCAU